rnacentral:rRNA from 1 species
UACGGAGGGUGCGAGCGUUGUCCGGAAUCACUGGGCGUAAAGGGCGCGUAGGCGGCCUGAUAAGUAGGGGGUGAAAUCUUGCGGCUUAACCGCAAGGCUGCCUUCUAAACUGUCAGGCUAGAGCACAGUAGAGGCAGGUGGAAUUCCCGGUGUAGCGGUGGAGUGCGUAGAGAUCGGGAAGAACACCCGUGGCGAAGGCGGUUCUCUGGGACGGUACUGACGCUGAGACGCGAAAGCGUGGGGAGCGAACAGG